rnacentral:snoRNA from 1 species
AAUCCAUGCAUCAGAGAUUUUUGAAUUAAAUCUUUAAAUCGUUCCUAAGCUUCAUAUAGUGUUUCAUUUUCCAAUUACCGAAAAGAUGUGAUGUCAUUUCUAAGCUU